rnacentral:rRNA from 1 species
UACGGAGGGUGCAAGCGUUUGUCCGGAAUUAUUGGGCGUAAAGAGCUCGUAGGCGGUUUGUCGCGUCUGCUGUGAAAACCCGAGGCUCAACCUCGGGCCUGCAGUGGGUACGGGCAGACUAGAGUGCGGUAGGGGAGAUUGGAAUUCCUGGUGUAGCGGUGAAAUGCGCAGAUAUCAGGAGGAACACCAGUGGCGAAGGCGGGUCUCUGGGCAGUAACUGACGCUGAGGAGCGAAAGCGUGGGGAGCGAACAGG